GCGUAUCUGCAGUUUUCUGUCAUUAUGCGUCGGCCAGUUGGAAUAGUCAUAAGUUUGGGCAAAUACUCCGCUUGACUAAAAUGUGACAAACAACUUGAUGCUUGGAAUGAAUUUACUUGCAUUCUUUGUUGCGGCCGUGCAAAUACACAGCGUGACGCUUGUCAUUCACACGCUCAAUUAUUUUGUGACGGCCUCUCAAGUUGCAAAGCUACCAGAGUACUGGGAGGCCGCGUAUGUUGAUGGCAUUCAGAUUCAGCAGUUUGACAGCAACCACAGGGAAACGAAAGCCAAACAUGACUGGGUGAACAAAAUCACAGAAGAUAAUCCGUACUUCUGGGAGAUAGAGACGGUGAUCAAUAUUCGGAAUGAGCAAAUCAUGAAGGACGACAUUGAAAUCGCUAAAAAGCGCUUCAACCAAACUGGAGGUGUUCACAUGAUUCAGGUGAUAAGCGGCUGUGAAUGGGACGAUGAGACGGGUGAGGUUAAUGGUUGGGAGCACCACUGUUACGAUGGAGAAGACUUCCUAUCAUUUGAGGCGAAGACGAUGACAUGGAUCGCAGCACAUCCACAAGCUUUCAUCACCAAAAUCAAGUUGCACCAAAGGGACGGGGAGAAUCAAAUCAGGAAGACUACAUACACUGCGAUGUGUCCUGUGCUGUUGAAGACACAUUUGAGCAACGGGAGGGACUUCCUGACGAGAACCGAGCUUCCCAAGGUGUUUCUCCUGCAGAAGACGCCUUCCUCUCCGGUCACCUGCCACGCCACAGGUUUCUACCCCAGGACAUCGACCCUCUUUUGGAGGAAGAAUGGCGAGGAGAUCCACGAGGACGUGGAGAUGGGGGCGACCCUCCCCAACCACGACGGAACCUUCCAGACCUCGGUCCACCUGAAAGUGGAGGUGACGCCCGCCGCGGAGCAGGAGUACGAAUGCGUGUUCCGGCUGGCCGGCGUCUCGGAAGUCAUCGUCAUCAAGCUGGACGCCGGAAGCAUCCUGAGCAACCACGCUUUGCCUUGUGAAAAAGAGCAAGAGAGGAAGAAGGCGGUGGCCAUUGCCGUCCCCUCGGUGGUCCUCAUUGUGGUGGCCAUGGCCAUGGCGGUGGUGGUGGUGGCGAUGAUCCUUAACAAGCAUCUCAAAAGAAAACAAGUCAUAUACUCUCAAGCUUGUAAAGAGGAAAAGCCACAAAAAAAAGAAGAAGAAGAAGAAGGACAAUUAACUGUUUCCACCUACUGUGAGUCUGUUUCUGAAUGAGAGGCAGUAGCCGUCACAUGGUGUUGGAAUUCUUUCAGAGGACUUUCUCAUCGCACCGCACUGCUUCUAUAGACAUUCUCUUGAAGGUUCGUGAGUAGGUCCUGCAGGAUCUGGUGAGGCAUUUUGACCGAACCGUGCUGCUGAUCACCCACAACCUGAAGACUAUCGAGGGCGAUCAGAUUGCGGUGAUAGGCGCGGGCGGCGUUCGGGAGCGAGGAACCCACCGCUCGCUGAUGGAAAA